rnacentral:lncRNA from 1 species
CAAAACACAUACUGUAAAGUGCUGAUGACGGUCUGGUCAAGAGAUUGAAUUCACUUUGUUCACACAAAAAAAACUAACAACAACAAAGGCGUUUCCAUGUGUGACUGUGCUGCCAUCUAGCAGAUGUGUGACGGCUGAGCUUUGCCAGGGGAAAGACUGUAUUUUAUACAUUAGAACCAACCUAAGACCCAGGCUGGUCUCCUAGCAACCCCACAGAAGUCGGCCUGCCCAGGGGGGAUGGGUAGGCCACAUCACAGGCCUUCUCCAGGCCCAGACAACGAGCGGAGGCCUUCUCCUUAACCAAGAACAUCCUGACACUCUCCCAGUCCGAGCACCUAGCCAUGUCUCCGAACACCGUGCGCGAAGCAAGAUCAGCUUUUCAUAUCUUUACAGGUUUACUGCAGUGCUCGUGUCCUCACGAAAUGGCAUCAGAGCAGAUCCAACUGUAGAUGAACAAGAGGAAAGUGAACAACAUUAUAUACCAGCGAAAC